rnacentral:sRNA from 1 species
AUGCAUAAUGCUAGAUCUGGAGUAAUUAACUAGAUCUUGAAUCCAGACAAUAGAUAUGCCCGCCAUAGGUAUCUGUAGUUGGAUCUAUUAUUUGAUGAGUCUGGUUUAUAGGUGUGUAAUAAGAAUCGGCCUAUCUACUAAA